rnacentral:rRNA from 1 species
AUUGAACGCUGGCGGCAGGCCUAACACAUGCAAGUCGAGCGGAUGAAGGGAGCUUGCUCCUGGAUUCAGCGGCGGACGGGUGAGUAAUGCCUAGGAAUCUGCCUGGUAGUGGGGGAUAACGUCCGGAAACGGGCGCUAAUACCGCAUACGUCCUGAGGGAGAAAGUGGGGGAUCUUCGGACCUCACGCUAUCAGAUGAGCCUAGGUCGGAUUAGCUAGUUGGUGGGGUAAAGGCCUACCAAGGCGACGAUCCGUAACUGGUCUGAGAGGAUGAUCGGUCACACUGGGACUGAGACACGGUCCAGACUCCUACGGGAGGCAGCAGUGGGGAAUAUUGGACAAUGGGCGAAAGCCUGAUCCAGCCAUGCCGCGUGUGUGAAGAAGGUCUUCGGAUUGUAAAGCACUUUAAGUUGGGAGGAAGGGCAGUAAGUUAAUACCUUGCUGUUUUGACGUUACCAACAGAAUAAGCACCGGCUAACUUCGU